GAGUUUGAUCAUGGCUCAGGAUGAACGCUAGCGGCAGGCUUAAUACAUGCAAGUCGAGGGGCAGCGGGAGUGUAGCAAUACACUUGCCGGCGACCGGCAAACGGGUGCGGAACACGUACGCAAGUCUACCCAGAACUGGGGGCAUAGCCCUCCGAAAGGAGGAUUAAUACCCGUACUCUUUUCAGGUGGCAUCACCUGGUUAGAAAAGACUCCGGCGGUUUUGGAUGAGCGUGCGGCUGAUUAGGUAGUUGGCGGGGUAACGGCCCACCAAGCCUGCGAUCAGUAACUGGUGUGAGAGCACGACCAGGUCACACGGGCACUGGAGACACGGGCCCGACUCCCUACGGGAGGCAGGCAGUAAGGAAUAUUGGUCAAUGGACCGCGAAACGGCUGAACCAGCCAUGCCGCGUGAAGGAUGAAGGUCC
rnacentral:rRNA from 1 species